AGACCCCACUCUGUGGCAGAUGAUCGAAAUUGUCUGACACAAUAUGAGCAAGAAGAUCUAACCUAUUCCAGUGUUUUCUCCUCUGAGAACCCAACUGUUACACAGACUGUUGGCU
ensembl:snoRNA